AUAAAGGCAAAGAACGAAGAGAGUAGGAAAUUACAGACCACAGAGAGAGACUGUCAUCGGCUGUAAGCAGUCUUGGAAACUGGAUUUUUGAAGUGCAUUCGGGAGCUGAUCCGGCGAAGGAAAAAAGGUAGUCGGAUACGGAUGACACACGUUAAGUGUUUUGAGUGAGAGCAGGAUUGCUCUACUUAGAGUGGAACCGCGGAUAACUUCGUCUCUAAU
rnacentral:ncRNA from 1 species